rnacentral:rRNA from 1 species
GAUGAACGCUGGCGGCGUGCCUAAUACAUGCAAGUCGAGCGAAUGGAUUAAGAGCUUGCUCUUAUGAAGUUAGCGGCGGACGGGUGAGUAACACGUGGGUAACCUGCCCAUAAGACUGGGAUAACUCCGGGAAACCGGGGCUAAUACCGGAUAACAUUUUGAACCGCAUGGUUCGAAAUUGAAAGGCGGCUUCGGCUGUCACUUAUGGAUGGACCCGCGUCGCAUUAGCUAGUUGGUGAGGUAACGGCUCACCAAGGCAACGAUGCGUAGCCGACGUGAGAGGGUGAUCGGCCACACUGGGACUGAGACACGGCCCAGACUCCUACGGGGGGCAGCAGUAGGGAAUCUUCCGCAAUGGACGAAAGUCUGACGGAGCAACGCCGCGUGAGUGAGGAAGGCUUUCGGGUCGUAAAACUCUGUUGUUAGGGAAGAACAAGUGCUAGUUGAAUAAGCUGGCACCUUGACGGUACCUAACCAGAAAGCCACGGCUAACUACGUGCCAGCAGCCGCCGUAA